AUCUGCGAUAAGCGCCGGUAAGGUGAUAUGAACCGUUAUAACCGGCGAUACCCGAAUGGGGAAACCCAGUGUGAUUCGUCACACUAUCAUUAACUGAAUCCAUAGGUUAAUGAGGCGAACCGGGGGAACUGAAACAUCUAAGUACCCCGAGGAAAAGAAAUCAACCGAGAUUCCCCCAGUAGCGGCGAGCGAACGGGGAGGAGCCCAGAGCCUGAAUCAGCAUGUGUGUUAGUGGAAGCGUCUGGAAAGGCGCGCGAUACAGGGUGACAGCCCCGUACACAAAAGCGCAUGUGCUGUGAGCUCGAUGAGUAGGGCGGGACACGUGGUAUCCUGUCUGAAUAUGGGGGGACCAUCCUCCAAGGCUAAAUACUCCUGACUGACCGAUAGUGAACCAGUACCGUGAGGGAAAGGCGAAAAGAACCCCGGCGAGGGGAGUGAAAAAGAACCUGAAACCGUGUACGUACAAGCAGUGGGAGCACAGGUUUACCUGUGUGACUGCGUACCUUUUGUAUAAUGGGUCAGCGACUUAU
rnacentral:rRNA from 1 species